rnacentral:rRNA from 1 species
CCUACGGGAGGCAGCAGUGGGGAAUAUUGCACAAUGGGGGAAACCCUGAUGCAGCGACGCCGCGUGAGUGAAGAAGGAAUUCGUUAUGUAAAGCCCUAUCAGCAGGGAAGAAAAUGACGGUACCUGAGUAAUAAGCCCCGGCUAACUACGUGCCAGCAGCCGCGGUAAUACGAAGGGGGCAAGCGUUAUCCGGAUUUUCUGGGGGUAAAGUGAGCGUAGACGGCAGUGCAAGUCUGGAGUGAAAGGCGGGGGCUCAACCCCCGGACUGCUCUGGAAACUGGACGGCUGGAGUGCAGGAGAGGUAAGUGGAAUUCCUAGUGUAGCGGUGAAAUGCGUAGAUAUUAGGAGGAACACCAGUGGCGAAGGCGGCUUACUGGACUGUAACUGACGUUGAGGCUCGAAAGCGUGGGGAGCAAACAGGAUUAGAUACCCGAGUAGUC